AAGAACCAUGAUUUUAGAGGG
rnacentral:miRNA from 1 species